AUUGAACGCUGGCGGCAGGCUUAACACAUGCAAGUCGAGCGGGGUGAUGGUGCUUGCACUAUCACUUAGCGGCGGACGGGUGAGUAAUGCUUAGGAAUCUGCCUAUUAGUGGGGGACAACAUCUCGAAAGGGAUGCUAAUACCGCAUACGUCCUACGGGAGAAAGCAGGGGAUCACUUGUGACCUUGCGCUAAUAGAUGAGCCUAAGUCGGAUUAGUUAGUUGGAGGGGUAAAGGCCUACCAAGGCGACGAUCUGUAGCGGGUCUGAGAGGAUGAUCCGCCACACUGGGACUGAGACACGGACCAGACUCCUACGGGAGGCAGCAGUGGGGAAUAUUGGACAAUGGGGGGAACCCUGAUCCAGCCAUGCCGCGUGUGUGAAGAAGGCCUUAUGGUUGUAAAGCACUUUAAGCGAGGAGGAGGCUCUUUUUGGGAAUACCCAAGAUGAGUGGACGUUACUCGCAGAAUAAGCACCGGCUAACUCUGUGCCAGCCGCCGCCGUAA
rnacentral:rRNA from 1 species